GAUCCUGGCUCAGAUUGAACGCUGGCGGCAGGCCUAACACAUGCAAGUCGAACGGUAACAGGAAGCAGCUUGCUGCUUCGCUGACGAGUGGCGGACGGGUGAGUAAUGUCUGGGAAACUGCCUGAUGGGAGGGGGAUAACUACUGGAAACGGUAGCUAAUACCGCAUAACGUCGCAAGACCAAAGGAGGGGGACCUUCGGGCCUCUUGCCAUCGGAUGUGCCAGAUGGGAUUAGCUAGG
rnacentral:rRNA from 1 species